GACAGAGGGUGCGAACGUUGCUCGGAAUUACUGGGCGUAAAGCGCGUGUAGGCGGGUGAUCAAGUCAGGUGUGAAAGCCCUGGGCUCAACCCAGGAACUGCACUUGAAACUGGUCGCCUUGAGUGUUGGAGAGGGAAGCGGAAUUCCUGGUGUAGAGGUGAAAUUCGUAGAUAUCAGGAGGAACACCGGUGGCGAAGGCGGCUUCCUGGACAACUACUGACGCUGAGACGCGAAAGCGUGGGGAGCAAACAGG
rnacentral:rRNA from 1 species